UCUUCUCCCUUUCAUUUCACCUUGUGCACUUAACGUCCAACUUCUGCUGAUCUCUGAAUGAUCUCUGAAUGUCCAAAUAACACAGCCUCUCUCCCAUUUUUAUCUCUCCUAAAUCUAUACCGUAUUUUUUAACAAUCGAAAAAGGAGAAACGACGUUGAAACGAAGCAAUCAGUAAGGACCCGUUGUCCACGAAGUGGCUGCGGCCACAGCAAAACAGUGUCUCAGCGGGGAACUGGACCAACUUUUCCUUUUAUCCGCCAUCUACAAUGGCGAAGACUUAGGGUCGUUUGUUCACCAAAUGGUUUUUUGCCUUCUUCGUUAGGAAAUCAGGACCAAUUGUUGUUUAUUUUUGUCCUAUCAUGCAUCUACAUUAAUGAGAACUGGCAAGGCAAGCCUGUUUUUCAGCAAUGGAAGGUCGAUAAAACUGCUCUUAGAUGUUAAAAAGAAGAACUAUUUAUUGAAAAUGACAGAAAGAAGGAAUUUGAAGAAGAAUAUCUGUGUUGCUCCAGGCCUUGAAGAUACCAUUUAUUAAUUUCUUGACCAGUUGACUCUAAACUUAAAGACUGAUGAUUUGGAUUGUUCUUUAUUUUCCUUUUCAAGGGAUUCUAUGAUUUAGUAAGGAGCCGAAACAAAGAUUUGGCGAGCACAACCGCCAAGCAUUCAUUUGUUUAUUUGUUAACAGGUGUGCCUUUCUGAAGAUGUUGCAAUAUUUUCAGGAAUGAAUUUUUUUGUAUGCGCAGGGUGAAGCCCCAAUAUUAGAGGAGAAAUUGAGACCACAAGUUCAGUUAACUUGAGAAUUCGAGAAGAAAAGCUUUGUGACUACAGCCACACAGGAUGAAAUAUGGCUCCAUCGAAUUUAUUCAUGCCAAUACUUUAAGACUUGACUGUCUCCAACAAAUUGAGCUGUAAUUGUCUUCAGUACUUUAUUGAUUAGUAGAGUGGGCUAAGUCUUAUAAAGGAAAAUGAGGAUUUGGGUUUAUGCCCAGGAUCUCAGGAAAAUAAUUUGGGAACCCAAAUGUGGGUCUUCCUUGUCACAUAUUGUGUAGGCAGGCAGGCAUGCUUAUUCAUAUAUUUCAAUAUUUAAAGGGUAAUGAUAUUUCAGGCCCAUCUAUUAGAUCAUAGCCUCAUCAUCA